rnacentral:rRNA from 1 species
CUUGAACGCUGGCGGCAUGCCUUACACAUGCAAGUCGAACGGCAGCACGGGAGCAAUCCUGGUGGCGAGUGGCGAACGGGUGAGUAAAGUAUCGGAACGUGCCCAGUCGUGGGGGAUAACGUAGCGAAAGUUACGCUAAUACCGCAUACGAUCUAUGGAUGAAAGCGGGGGAUCGCAAGACCUCGCGCGAUUGGAGCGGCCGAUAUCAGAUUAGGUAGUUGGUGGGGUAAAGGCUCACCAAGCCGACGAUCUGUAGCUGGUCUGAGAGGACGACCAGCCACACUGGGACUGAGACACGGCCAGACUCCUACGGGAGGCAGCAGUGGGGAAUUUUGGACAAUGGGCGAAAGCCUGAUCCAGCCAUGCCGCGUGCAGGAUGAAGGCCUUCGGGUUGUAAACUGCUUUUGUACGGAACGAAAAGGUUUGGCCUAAUAAGCUGAGCUCAUGACGGUACCGUAAGAAUAAGCACCGGCUAACUACGUGCCAGCCGCCGCCGUAAUAC